AGGCGAGAGGCUUCGGCGGCGGGAGAAGGGGCUUCGUCCCACCGCCAUCUUUGCGGGAAUUGAACAGCUUGGACUUGGAGACAGUGAGUUAAAACAGAAAUAAGAAGGCGGCAGAAAAAGACUACCAGAUUGAAAUGUGUUGGAUAUUCAUAUCCACCCAGCACCUCAGAAUGUGGCCAUGGAGGAUGGAGACAGAGAUUGGAGUGAUGCAUCUUCAAGCCUAGGAACACUAAGGAUUGCUGGUAAUCACCAGAAGCUGGAAGAGGCAAGAAAGUGUCCUUUCCUAGAGCCUUCAGAGAGAGCGCAGCCCUGCCAACACCUUGAUUAUAUGCUUCAAGCUUCUAGAAUUGUGAGAGAAUAAAUUUCUGUUGUUAUAA
rnacentral:lncRNA from 10 species